UAGGAGAACCAAAUCCAGAAGCCAACGUAUAGGCUUAGUUCGUGUGUUGUCUCUUGAGUUUGUCGCUCACGUGUACAACAGGGUAUGGGAUGUCUGGUGGGUGGCCCUGUCGGUGGGCUGGCCCAUCCCGGCUGCCGUGGGUGGUCACCUCCUGGAGCAGUCAUGCUGUGUCCGUGAACUCGGGGCCGGGGCCCAAGCGGCUGGGAUGCUGGGGAGCCUGUGUGAGAAUUGAAUCCUGGAGCCUCAGGCUUGGGGAUCAAGGAGAGAGGACCAAGCCCUUCCUUUGAUGCCGUCUCUGGGGGACACUUUCUCCUGGAAGGGGACGAGAGGGCUCUUGGCCCUACCUGCCACUGAGCUGCCCCAUGAAGGACCAGGUUCACUUUGAUUAGCUCCUGUGGCCCGACUUUGGGCUGGAAUCAGGAAUGUUCCAAAGAGUUGUUAGUCUUUUGCUUUUGGCAAAACUCUGCUUAAUCCAAUGGGUUUUUCCCUGUACAGUAGAUUUUCCAAAUGUAAUAAACUUUAAUAUAAAGUAGUCACGUGAACUCUACUGCCUUUGCUUCUUUCUGAGCUGGUCUUGUGGCCGUGACCAGCCUUUUCUCUAAACGCCAAUGAUAUUGGGAAACCUGGCUAAAAGCUCUGUGCCUUCAUCUUUCCCGUGGGGAGGGAUUCUGGGGCCAGAGUCCCUCUGGUUUGUUUGUUUUUUUGUUUUUUGUCUUUGUUGAAAUUAUUCUGGAGAUGGGUAGGUUCAUUCAAGGUUAUACAAGGCCUGAUGUAAAUUUCCGCGUUGCCAAGUUCGAAGGACAGUCUCCUAUAUGGUGAUGAAGCUGUGUCGGCCCCAGUCCAGAUUGAUCCGAGGCCGUGCGCCCCAUGGAGGCCUGGAGCCAAGGCCUGCCUCUCAGACACCUUUGCUGGGACCAGAGACCCCCAGCCCUGGCUCCUGGGAACUCCUGUGUUUGCUUAUUUAAUUUGACAACGUUCCAGCCGCUCUGUUGGCCGCUCUGAGAGGGGACCGUCUGUGAUUCGGAGAGACGCCCUGCCCAGCGAAGGGAACUUGUGCCCUGUGUUUCAUACAGAGACUUUCUGCCGGAGUGCAUGUCUGGACACGACUCCUGGGUGGAGAAGGGGCUGUGACUGUGCUCAUCUCUGCUGGUCCAUGGGACGGCGCUCAACCCAUGGCUGGGCCCAUUCAUGUAGCUAAUAAACGGCAGAAGGAGAGCACGUGUCUGCGGAAAGGUGUGUGU